rnacentral:lncRNA from 1 species
AGAUUUUGAGAGCAGCCAGUCCAGACUGCAGCAAGGGGAGAGAGAGCUCCAGGAAGGAUAUCUUCCAAAAAAGGGUUUACGCUGGCAGAACAUAUGGAGAGGAGAUUUCCAUUUCUGAAGCAGGGUUUGGGAUGAUUUCAGUAGAGGCACAGUCUCGCUCUGUCACCCAGGCUGGAGUGAAGUGGUCCAAUCUCAGCUCGCUGCAACUUCUGCCUCCCAGGUUCAAGCAAUUCUCUGCCUCAGCCUCCUGAGUAGCUGAGAUUACAGGCUGAUAGGCAGAAGUGACGUGCCUUGUGUCAGAUGAGACUUUGGACUUGGACUUUUGAGUUAAUGCUGGAAUGAGUUAAGACUUUGGGGGACCAUUGGGAAGG